UACAGAGGUCUCAAGCGUUGUUCGGAUUCAUUGGGCGUAAAGGGUGCGUAGGCGGCGCGGUAAGUCGGGUGUGAAAUCUCGGGGCUUAACUCCGAAACUGCAUUCGAUACUGCCGUGCUUGAGGACUGGAGAGGAGACUGGAAUUUACGGUGUAGCGGUGAAAUUCGUAGAUAUUCGGAGGAACACCAGUGGCGAAGGCGGCUCACUGGCUCGAUACUGACGCUGAGGUGCGAAAGCGUGGGGAGCAAACAGG
rnacentral:rRNA from 1 species